rnacentral:rRNA from 1 species
AUGCAAGCGUUAUCCGGAAUGAUUGGGCGUAAAGCGUCCGCAGGUGGCUAUGUAAGUCUGCUGUUAAAGAGUCUGGCUCAACCAGAUAAAGGCAGUGGAAACUACAUGGCUAGAGUGCGUUCGGGGCAGAGGGAAUUCCUGGUGUAGCGGUGAAAUGCGUAGAGAUCAGGAAGAACACCGGUGGCGAAAGCGCUCUGCUAGGCCGCAACUGACACUGAGGGACGAAAGCUAGGGGAGCGAAUGGG